GCGUUAAGUAUCCCACCUGGGGAGUACGCCGGCAACGGUGAAACUCAAAGGAAUUGACGGGGGCCCGCACAAGCGGAGGAACAUGUGGUUUAAUUCGAUGAUACGCGAGGAACCUUACCCGGGCUUGAAUUGCGACUGACUGCAUCAGAGAUGAUGUUUCCAGCAAUGGCAGUCGUGAAGGUGCUGCAUGGUUGUCGUCAGCUCGUGCCGUGAGGUGUCGGCUUAAGUGCCAUAACGAGCGCAACCCUUUUCCCUGUUUGCCAUCGGGUAAUGCCGGGCACUCCAGGGAUACUGCCAUCGUAAGAUGUGAGGAAGGUGGGGAUGACGUCAAAUCAGCACGGCCCUUACGUCCGGGGCUACACACGUGUUACAAUGGGCGGCACAGAGGGCAGCGACCGCGCGAGCGGCAGCCAAUCCCGAAAUCCGCUCUCAGUUCGGACUGGAGUCUGCAACCCGACUCCACGAAGCUGGAUUCGCUAGUAAUCGCGCAUCAGCCAUGGCGCGGUGAAUACGUUCCCGGGCCUUGUACACACCGCCCGUC
rnacentral:rRNA from 1 species